rnacentral:rRNA from 1 species
AGAACGAACGCUGGCGGCAUGCCUAAUACAUGCAAGUCGAACGAACACUUCGGUGUUAGUGGCGCACGGGUGCGUAACGCGUGGGAAUCUGCCCUUGGGUUCGGAAUAACAGUUGGAAACGACUGCUAAUACCGGAUGAUAUCGAAAGAUCAAAGAUUUAUCGCCCAGGGAUGAGCCCGCGUAGGAUUAGCUAGUUGGUGAGGUAAAGGCUCACCAAGGCGACGAUCCUUAGCUGGUCUGAGAGGAUGAUCAGCCACACUGGGACUGAGACACGGCCCAGACUCCUACGGGAGCAGCAGUAGGGAAUAGUUGGACAAU